UGGACCCGUGAUGAGAACCAGUGGCAUUUGAGGAGAGGAUGAUAAAUUUCAAUGUGUCUGAAACUCUGAGGUCCAG
ensembl:snoRNA